rnacentral:rRNA from 2 species
AGAGUUUGAUCCUGGCUCAGGAUGAACGCUAGCGACAGGCUUAACACAUGCAAGUCGAGGGGCAGCACGAUGUAGCAAUACAUUGGUGGCGACCGGCGCACGGGUGAGUAACGCGUAUGCAACCUACCUAUCAGAGGGGAAUAACCCGGCGAAAGUCGGACUAAUACCGCAUAAAACAGGGGUUCCACAUGGAAAUAUUUGUUAAAGAAUUAUCGCUGAUAGAUGGGCAUGCGUUCCAUUAGAUAGUUGGUGAGGUAACGGCUCACCAAGUCCACGAUGGAUAGGGGUUCUGAGAGGAAGGUCCCCCACACUGGUACUGAGACACGGACCAGACUCCUACGGGAGGCAGCAGUGAGGAAUAUUGGUCAAUGGGCGAGAGCCUGAACCAGCCAAGUCGCGUGAAGGAUGAAGGAUCUAUGGUUUGUAAACUUCUUUUAUAUGGGAAUAAAGUGAGGAACGUGUUCCUUUUUGUAUGUACCAUAUGAAUAAGCAUCGGCUAACUCCGUGCCAGCAGCCGCGGUAAUACGGAGGAUGCGAGCGUUAUCCGGAUUUAUUGGGUUUAAAGGGUGCGUAGGUGGUUAAUUAAGUCAGCGGUGAAAGUUUGUGGCUCAACCAUAAAAUUGCCGUUGAAACUGGUUGACUUGAGUAUAUUUGAGGUAGGCGGAAUGCGUGGUGUAGCGGUGAAAUGCAUAGAUAUCACGCAGAACUCCGAUUGCGAAGGCAGCUUACUAAACUAUAACUGACACUGAAGCACGAAAGCGUGGGGAUCAAACAGGAUUAGAUACCCUGGUAGUCCACGCA